GAUGGUAUAGCCAAGUGGUAAGGCACGGGUCUGCAACACCCUGAUCGCCGGUUCGACUCCGGUUACCAUCU
rnacentral:tRNA from 1 species